CUAAAACCAACAGAGCCGCAAGGGGACAAGGCGGUAGGGGUUUCCGAUGGCGCCGAAGCGGAAGCCCGCGCGGGGGGCGGCGGCGGAGGAGCGGGACCCCGACGGAAUGUUCCACGGCGUCUCCGCCUUCAUCGUUCCCCACGGCGUCCAGGCCCGCCGUCUCGAGGUGUGGAAGCAGAGGCUGGUGCAGAUGGGGGGCCGCGUCGUGGAGAAGCUCGACAAGGGCGGCGCUGCGGCGGGGGUCAACCACGUGCUGGCCAUGGACGCCAAGGCUCUGCUCCGGGAGCUCGACGCCGCCUGGCUCCACCGUUUCCGCGGGAGUGUGGUGUCCUUCGAAUGGCUGGAGGAAUGCCUCAAGUCCGGGGAGAGGCUGCCCGAGCACAAGUUUACAAUCAACUAUGAAGAGGAAUUUAAGCCGAAGAAGGCAGCUGGCAAUGGAGGUUCGGGUGGGUUGCAGCCUGCGAAAAGGAGCAAAAUAUCAUCUGAGGAUCCUGGGGAUCAGCAGAGAACAAGCGACGAGGAUAGGGAGGAGCAUUCAAAUGCAAGUGCGGAUAAAGGUUCAGGUGUCAAGACAAAGCCUAACCAGUAUGCAAGUAGCCAAAGUAGCUCCGGAGAUACCAAGGAUACCGUAGGUUCUCAUGCUACAUUUGACAUCGAGGAAGCCUCCUCUGGAGGUCCCAGCAUUUAUGCUCCGGCAGACUUGAAUAGGAACAUCACCAAGAUUUUCGGAAGGCUUAUCGAUAUAUAUAGGGCCCUGGGAGAUGACAGAAGAUCAUUUAGCUAUUACAAGGCCAUACCGGUAAUUGAGAAAUUGCCAUUCAAAAUAGAAAGUGCUGAGCAAGUUAAAGACCUCCCUACCAUUGGGAAAUCUUUGAAAGACCAUAUAAAUGAAAUAGUUACAACUGGUAAACUCUCCAAGCUGGAACACUUUGAGAAUGAUGAAAAGGUGCGGACUAUCAGCUUAUUUGGAGAAGUUUGGGGGGUUGGCCCUGCCACUGCACUCAAGUUAUAUGAAAAGGGACACCGUACUCUUGAUGAUCUGCGAAAAGAUGAGUCACUUACAAAUGCUCAGAGGAUUGGAUUGAAGUACUUUGAUGAUAUCAAGCAAAGAAUCCCCCGGCAUGAGGUUAGCGAGAUGGAGAAGCUUUUGCAAGAUGUUGGGAAGGAUAUCUUGCCUGGGGUAAUAAUUGUUUGCGGAGGAUCAUAUAGACGUGGAAAAGCUUCUUGUGGUGACAUGGAUAUUGUUAUAACUCAUCCUGAUGGAGAAAGUCAUGUAGGUUUUUUGCCCAACUUUGUUCAACGGCUGAAGGAAAUUAACUUUUUGAGGGAGGAUCUUAUCUUUAGCAUACACAGCGUUGAUGUAAGUUGUAACAUACCCACCACUUGGGAUCAGAUAGUGGGGUUGACACAUAUUUUGGUCUUUGCACAUAUCCUGGGCAUGAACUGCGGCACCGCAUUGACUUAAAGGUAUACCCAAGGAACAGAUAUGCAUGUGGACUGCUUGCAUGGACUGGAAAUGAUGUACUAAAUCGACGGCUAAGACUAUUAGCAGAUUCGAAAGGAUACGUGCUUGAUGACACUGGAUUGUAUCUAGCUACACGGGGCAGUGGUGGAAAGCAUGCAGGUAGAUCGGAUGCGAUUGUCAACUGUCACACUGAGAAGGAUGUUUUCGACACUCUUGGAUUCCCUUGGCUCGAACCCCAUGAGCGCAAUCUUUAGUGGGUUUUGAGUGUUCCUGUAGCGGAUGUAUUUUGUAAAGCUGUAUGUACCUGAACUUAAUGGGGACUUAAAAGGCUUCGUACUGGGUGUUGUUCAUUUAUAUGUCCUUCAGUUCCCUUGUGUUGUGCUGUGAAUUGUACGCAACCUUAUUGAAAGUAUCUAAAGUAGUCUCUGCUCUCUGUCUUCCGGCAUAA